UCCUUACUGAUUCUAUUAUUAUUUAUAAAGCGGCAACAAAUUCUACAGCGCUGUACAAUGGGUGCACUAACAAAUACGUAACUGUAACCAGACGAGUCGGACGCACGGGAACAGAGGAUGUUGAGGGCUCUGCUCAGUGAACUUAUAUUUAAGAGGGUGUGAAGUAUAGUUACACAAAAGGUAAGGGUAGGGUAAAAAAGUAGGUUGCUAGAAUAGUAUUCACUAUAUGACAGUUGCAGGAGAGGAAUCGGGGUGUGGGGGGGCAAGUUAUGACCAGUUUCAUUAAUAUGCUUUUGUGAAGAAAGAAUGGAGACUUUGUGAACAUCUAAUGGAGAAAGGAAGGGAGUUCCACAG